CCUACGGGAGGCAGCAGUGGGGGAUAUUGGACAAUGGGGGGAACCCUGAUCCAGCGACGCCGCGUGAGUGAAGAAGUAUCUCGGUAUGUAAAGCUCUAUCAGCAGGGAAGAAAAUGACGGUACCUGACUAAGAAGCCCCGGCUAAAUACGUGCCAGCAGCCGCGGUAAUACGUAGGGGGCAAGCGUUAUCCGGAUUUACUUGGUGUAAAGGGAGCGGAGGCGGUCUGGUAAGUCUGGUGUGAAAAGCGGGGGCCCAACCCCGGGACUGCUUUGGAAACUGGCGGGCGGGAGUGCAGGAGGGGCGGGCGGAAUUCCUAGUGUAGCGGUGAAAUGCGUAGAUAGUAGGAGGAACACCAGUGGCGAAGGCGG
rnacentral:rRNA from 1 species